rnacentral:lncRNA from 1 species
CAGUGCUGGGGAGCAAACCCAGGACCUCAUGUAUGCUAGCUGAAUGCUCUACCACUAAAAUUCAUUUCUGGUCCUUUUAAAUUUUGUAUUUUUGAGACAGGGUCCCUCUAAGUUGCCCAAACUGGCUUCGAACUUGUGAUCCUUUGCCUCAGCCUCCUUAGUAGCUGCAAUUAUAGGCAUGCACCACUGUUCCCAACUGCUAUUUUACAUUAUUUUUAAGUAGACUUCUUGACAAUAUAAAAAGUUGGCAGUUAUAUUAGACAUUGACUUUCCCCCCAAAAGCUUGGAAACUAUUGCUCUCAGGGAAACUAAGGGAUGGGAGCAGCUUCUCAGCUUUCAGGCUGAGGUGGAUCCUGAGCAGCCACUGUAUUCUCACUGUAAUAAUGGUUCAUCUCCCUUCCAGAUCUUCUCUCCAUUUGUAACUCUGUUUUUCAAG